AAAAGGAAAAAGAAAAAAGAAAAAAAAAAAAAAAAGCAUAUUUUCCAGUCCUCAGGCUGGCAAACAAAACCUUCCUGCGUCUGCCUGAUAUCUGCAGUUUCAAGGAAAGCUGUUCAAGUUUGGAGAAUUUGUUUGUGCAGCAGUACUAUGUAUCUUCAUAAAGCCAGCAAUGUAGCUGCAACUCAAGGCUCAUUUUUCUUCCUUACUUUGAAAUAUCUAGUUAGAAAGGAAAUCACUCAGGAAGGAGUGCAACAAAGAGAUUAAUUAUAGCAAAGCACUUACAGUGCAAUGGUAAGAAUUGUGCUGGCCCUGUUGCAUAUUGGUAUGAUUGGGAAGACGAAUGAUCAGGAGCCUCAUAGCAUUUCUUUGAGAUCAGAGGCAGUGCUGUUCAAAGAUGGACCUUGACUGUACAGAGAUCCUCCAUACGAUUCAUCCCCAAACCUCACUGAACCAAAUGAUCUCAUAAUGCCAGAGUGUACUAAUAUAUCUGAGUGGGAUUUAAAAAAGGUACUUAGCUAGACUGUAGCCAACUACCCAGAUCAGACCCUCAAGGAUAAUACAAAGGCAUUGAAAAAACAUCUGUAAAUGGCAACUGAGCGGCAUCAAUUUCUAGCUGUUAGUUAUCUGUGCCUGUGAUGGUGGAAGGAGGGGAGAAAUGUGGAACAGUGAGGAGGCUGUGCUGUAGCAAUCUACGAGAGCUUGAAUAAGGAGCUCUGCUUAAACACAGGUUAGGUCCCCUUUGAUACUAGAUCAAUACAAUCUUCUUUAAAAAAUAAUCACAUUUUGAAUAACUACUUGAAAGCUGAACAGAAACUGAUAGAAUGAGUAGGAUUCAUGAGACACAAAAAGAAAUUAAAAAUAGAUGGAUCUUUCUGUGUUUCUUCUGUUUGUGCAUUGGUUUGAAUUCUACAUUUCCAAUUUUCUGAAAGUAAAACCACUUAAAAAUCAGAUGAUGUGUUUUUUUGCAGGCCUGGACAUUUGGGAUUGCAGAGAAUAAGUGGGCCACUGAAAUGCCAGCAAGUGUAUGAACAGUUCCACCAGGUGCAAGGAGAUUAGGCAGCCUUUAUCCACACUACCAAAGUAUCAGAACAUUUCUUUUAGAUCUACUAUGCAGGCACGAGAGCCAAAGAAUCUGAAUUAUGCUGUCCUCCAGACUCUUCUAUUAUGCUUUUUUCAGCAUUUUGCACAAAUGAGAUGGAUCAGAGUUCACACUUGUGACAAGCUCUGCUGAAACUGCAGAAACAAAGGUACUUGCUGGAAUCUAAUUCCCCAAAUAAUAAGUAGCAGUCCCUAUCUCUGAGGGCAUGUACCAUAACAGAUGCUAGCACAUCAUCAUGCAAGCAACUAGACACUGUCAGCAGCUGUUGAGAUAAUACAGUGUUUGAUUUUAUUUCUCUGAUAGCAAUUUGGUUGCCUGAAGUAGCUCAUUUUUGCCAAAGGUAGACCAUAGUGUUCAAAUGGGAGAAGCUGAUCAUUAAUGGUAAUUUGCUUUGAUCUUUAUGAGUGUGGAAUUAGAGUGGGAAGUGUGUGCACUUUAAUUGCCUUUUAGCAUCACCAAGGCAGACUAAUAUUGACUAAUAUUGAUUAAGUGGGAUGAAAUCCUCUUCUGGUUUUUUUUUCCUCCCAAGGAGAAAGCAAAUUGGUUCAUUCAUUAGAUAACACACAGAAAAGAGGCCUGUUCCCAGACCACCUACUGCUCUGACAUAGAUAGCUCCACCUCAUUUAAAAUUCUUGUUUAUUUUUGUCUCCUCUAGGUGAAGCUGCUUCCCAAAAGAAAAACACAGAUGUGUAGGUUUUUAGAACUCUUCUUGCAUUUAUAAAACAAGCAGGUGAUAUUGGGCUGUUCAUCACAACUGAUUGUUCAGUGCAAUUAUGUAGACUAUAUAAUGCCUUUCUCAUGGUAGAAGAAUGGCACAGGGUCAUUUGCAAUGUUUGCUCUGUGGACUCAGGGAAAAGAAGUUACUAGCUUGCUAAUUAUCAAAUGCUGCUUCAGGCUCAUUGGCUUGAAAUUAAGCAUUGUUAAAGUCAAUUUAAACAAACUUUCAAACUACACCGUUUUAUUUUUUUUGUUCCUAAGUGGCAAGCUCUUGAAAGCCUCCAAAGUCUUCAUCUUUAGUACUCUGAAAUUCAGCCCUCUUAAGCAAAAGAUCAUUCUGUGAGUAAGUCCAGUUUUUUUGAUCAUGUUGACUUAUUGAUGAUUGUGACAUGGGAGGCCAAAAGAGGUAGAAGAGAUCUAAUGAUUUCCAAAUAAUAUUUAUGCAGCUUCCUAACUCGUCAGUGAAUGGCUCAGCCAAAAACUGCCUGAUAUAUACAGCAGCAACAUGUAUACAUCAGCAUUUCCAAGAGAAGUACAGCAGUUCCACAAUGACUUUUCUGAUGCAGUCAUACUAACACUAUUAGGAGUAAUUCCAAGAUACUCUUUUUUUCUGUCCUUGAAUACAG
ensembl:lncRNA